rnacentral:miRNA from 1 species
UUUAGCCUCAGACCACGGUGGACU